rnacentral:rRNA from 1 species
GUGCCAGCAGCCGCGGUAAUACGUAGGGGGCAAGCGUUGUCCGGAAUUAUUGGGCGUAAAGCGCGCGCAGGCGGUUCUUUAAGUCUGGUGUUUAAACCCGAGGCUCAACUUCGGGUCGCACUGGAAACUGGGGAACUUGAGUGCAGAAGAGGAGAGUGGAAUUCCACGUGUAGCGGUGAAAUGCGUAGAUAUGUGGAGGAACACCAGUGGCGAAGGCGACUCUCUGGGCUGUAACUGACGCUGAGGCGCGAAAGCGUGGGGAGCAAACAGGAUUAGAUACCCUGGUAGUCC